rnacentral:tRNA from 1 species
GGGGCCUUAGCUUAACGGUAGAGUAGUCGGUUCGCAUCCGACCGAUACCGGUUCGAUUCCGGUAGGCUCCA